UACGUUCACAAUAAACAUGGUACAUCAGCUAUGUCAACGUAGUGGACAUCUAGAACAAGGCUAUACAAGCUAGAGAAGCCUUUAAGAACUCAGUUUGCACAAUUUAGUUUAGAAGACCUACGGAUACAUUUCAGUCAUGGUUUCAUGCUGGUGCCUGGCCUUAUUUUUUAUGGCCACCGUGGAACAACCUUUUAUUGGGAUAGAGUCUUUAAUAACGCCCUUUAUUUUUGGAAAACAAAAAAAUAAUUUGUGGCACUUAAACGAGCUUUAUGUAGAAAAAUGUUUUCAAAAUUUGACUAUAAAAAUGUAAACAUUCAAUUUGUAUAUUAGUUGUUAUUAUUUUUAUACAUUUUAGAACUGCAUGCUUUAAAAAAUGGAAAGAUUGAGAUAUAUAAUUGUCAUGUAGAUUUAUUUUUUCCGUAAUUUUAAGCUUACGUUUUGUAUAGUAUGUUCACAGAAAUGCAUCUAAUAAAUAUAUGAUAAGUUAUA
rnacentral:sRNA from 1 species